GGAGGGGUGGUAGAGCGGUCAAUUACGCUGUCUUGGAAAGGCAGAGUCUGAAAAGGCACCAGGGUUCGAAUCCCUGUCCCUCCGCCA
rnacentral:tRNA from 1 species